UCUAUACCCGGAAGGCUGCGCUUGCGCAGUGUUGUUCUCCCAGUGCUUCUCCUUGUGCCUUUAUUGUGGUUCUCCUUGUUGUUCUCCGAGUCUUCUCCUUGUAAUUAUCCCAGUCCUCUUUGUGCUUCUCUGAGUCCGACAAUAUAACUAUCAUAACAACCCAUAAUUCCGUGCAGUCUGAGAUAGAGUGUUAUAAAGUACAGUAGUAUAGUAUAGUAUUAUAGUAGAGUAGUCUCCAGUCCAGCCAGAUCCCAUAUGACUACACUUUGUGGUUUGAUGCAAAAUUUCAAACUCAUCGGAGCCGUGAAUUGGUGUGCACGUAUAUUUAAGCGAUCUUCAAUUCCUCAAAUCAUUUCGUAGUGACAGUGUUCCUUUCUUUCAUGUAGUCCUGGAAUUAUUUUAGCCUAGUCGUUUAGUCGGACAAGAGAUGGACAUCCCUCUUCAUCUCCUUGCGCCAUUGCUUCGUACGAGCUGCAACACUAUCGUCAUACAGCUGCGUGUGAAUGCACAUGUGCAUCUUACCUGGCGAUGAGCAUGACCCUCCCCCCGAUUGAAUUGUUGUAUAAAUUCGUGCAAGCUGCAACACUAUCGCCAUACAGCUGAGUAUGAAUGCACAUGUGCAUCUUACCUGGUGAUGAGAAUGACCCUCCCCCCAAUUGAAUUGUUGUAUAAAUUCGUGCAAGGUAAGUAAAAUAGUUUACUAAGUCUUGCUGUUAGGUAAAUCGGGGGAGGAUUUUUUCAACAACUCUACAGUACCUGUAGACACGUAUGGGUUGUGAUGGUGAUUGAGUUAUUACGGUUGUCAUCAAAGAGUUGAUAUGAUGGGGGUUGCGAUGGUGAUUGGGUUAGCAUAACGAUAGGAUCUGUACACAUAACAACAAGAUUUGCUAAUAGGGUAUAUACAUGUAGCACCUGUACACACAUACAUGUAAGAUGCUUAUUACAGUCCAUUUCAAAACUAUAGACGCGUACCUAGGCAAAAACCGUUAUGCCAGCAUCUAUACCACAUAAAAUCUGUGAUCACCUUGUGCAUAAUUUUUUCCAAAUAGGGCAUCUGUUAUCCAAUCGUUUAGAAACUCUAUGAGAGUAAUUGUGGAGCGGACCUGAGCAAUAUUCCGAAAACUAAUC